CCACACAUUAGAGAACAAAGCCCUUAUCAAGGCUUUCCCGCUUCCCGUGAGACUUGGCCCGCGAUAUUCCAGACAAAGGAAACCCCACCAGCUGGCAACUGAGUUCGCACGUCAAACUCAAACCUACAGCCCCGUAUUUGACAGGGCUCUCCUCCGUAGUACGUAUUGGCAGAAACGAUACUACGUAGCACGCAUGUCUGAGUAGCUUGAUGAUGUUUCUUUUUUCCUCACUGAACACCAAGUGCUAACCCUACAGCUAGCCCAUUUUCCAGAUUCUUGCUCUCAAGGCGAGACGGUAGGGCGCAAUUAAAGGAAUGGUGCGAACAGUUAAUAAUCGGCGGCUUUCACGGCCCACUUGCAAAUAUAUUGUCAAACCUUGACUAGAUUGAUGCUUGUUGUAAAAUGCAACGUUGAUUAAUUAGAAUAAAAAUUUUUAAAAUUAAAAAAAGUAAAAAAUAAAAAUAAUAAAAAAAUACAAGUUCAAAAGA
rnacentral:sRNA from 2 species